AGUACAGAGGUACAAUCUCAGCUCACUGUGCCCUUCAUCUCUGGGGUUCAAGCGAUUCUCCGACCUCAGCCUCCUGAGUAGCUGGGACUACAGGCGGCUGCCACCACACUUGGCUAAAUGUUUGUAUUUUUAGUAGAGUUGGGGUCUCAUUAUGUUGGCCGAGCUGGUCUCAAACUCCUGACCUCAAAUGAUCCACCUGCCUUGGUCUCCCAAAGUCAGCAGUGUGCUGGGGAAACAAAGUGAGGUCUUUGCUCUCCAAGAGUUCACGGGUUAGUAGAGGGAGAUCAACACUGAUGUAAGCAGAUGAAACAAGCCACUUUCAUGCCACCAUGCCACGAGACAGGAAGGAGGAGCCAAUUCUGUUGUGCAAAAGGCUCUGGUCGAGUCCAGACACUCACAGCUGCUGUGGAAAUGUGAGAUCUGAGAGCCAGGUUUGGAGGCUGAAGGCUUUUCUGUGCAAUCAUGGAAAUCCAUUACCCUCUGUGCUCUUGGGAAUGCCUGCACUUCUUUCUUGCAUUUGUCUGAAAAAGAACAAGCAAACAAAAGGACAUGGAUGAACCUGGAGACCAUCAUUCUCAGCAAACUGACACAAGAACAGAAAAUGAAAUACCGCAUGUUCUCACUCAUAGGUGGGUGUUGAACAAUGAGAACACAUGGACACAGGGAGGGGAGCACUACACA